UCUACGAGGUGGCAUCAUUGGGGAAGGGUUCAGCGAGUCCUGCCAUGGUCUGUCUACAAGGUGGCAUCAUUGGGGAAGGGUUCAGCGAGUCCCGCCAUGGUCUGCCUACGAUGUGGCUGCAUUGGGAAGCGUCCAAGGCACAUGGUGUUUCAGUGAGAUGGAAAACGCUUACAGGUAAGCCUGGCUACAAAGUGCUGACAUAGGUAGAAAAGUCCUAAAUCCGUUUUUCUUUCUGUUUACAGAACUCGAUUAUGGCUAUUCUCGAUAGAGCUCACACUGACAACUGCAAGAAGAAGAGGGACACAUCUACAUUUCAGCUACUUCGAUCAAUCCAUGAUGCCAACGAGUCCUGCCAUGGUCUAUCUACGAGGUAGCGUCAUUGGGGAAGCGUCCAGCGAGUCCUACUAUGGUCUGCCUGCGAGGUGGCGUCAUUGGGGAAGCGUCCUGCGAGUCCUGCCAUGGUCUGCCUGCGAGGUGGCUGCACUGGGGAAGCGCCCAAGGCACAUCGUGUUUCAAUGAGAAGGAAAACCCUUAAAGAGAACAAAAGAAAAAGGAAAUGACACCCCAGAAAAUUGCAACGUGAAAACAAAGCGGCUGAACAGCAAGAAGUGCAGUGACCUGAUAUUGCUGGGUUUGCCUUGGAAGAGCAGACGAUGACUUGAAGGCCUACUUCUCACAGUUUGGUGAAGUCAUCAUGGCACAGAUCUUCAUCAGUCUCAGUUUGAUACACGCGUCGUCACUGGACUAGAAUAUUAGGAGCUACUACCCCUCAACAUCACCCUCAGUCCUACGGUUGUGGUACUAAGAGGCCAUCGUACAGGCUACGAAAGGGCAGUUUUCCAGAAAUAAUGCCCGAACGCAGAUUCCAUCAAUCCUAGCCUAAAUGUCCAAGAUGUUAUACACUUGAUGGCACUAGCAACGAGCCCCUGUAGCCACUUUCACUGAUAAUCAGACGUCCGAGCAGUCUUUAAGGACACAGCUUGUCUGCAAACAAAUUUACUGAAUGUGGAAUGACAAUGAAAAGCGAUAUAAUGAAUGCUAGAGGAAUACAGUCUAACAAUGUCCUCAAUUCUCUUGGAUAUUGAGAAUUUUUGCGGUUCAUGGGUCACAGAUGCGAGUCGGGUGUAUUUUUUUCACUUAUGACAGUGAGUCAUUUUAUUUAAGUAGCUUAAGAGAAAACUGAAGUUCAAGAUAAUCAUUCAUAAUUUCAUAAAUGACCAAUUGAAUAAGAUGAAUUGUGGUUCUGUGUGA